AUUGAACGCUGGCGGCAUGCCUUACACAUGCAAGUCGAACGGUAACGCGGGGCAACCUGGCGACGAGUGGCGAACGGGUGAGUAAUGCGUCGGAACGUACCCAACAGUGGGGGAUAGCCCGGCGAAAGCCGGAUUAAUACCGCAUACGACCUCAGGGUGAAAGCGGGGGAUCGCAAGACCUCGCGCUGAUGGAGCGGCCGAUGUCAGAUUAGGUAGGUGGUGGGGUAAAGGCCUACCAAGCCGACGGUCUGUAGCUGGUCUGAGAGGACGACCAGCCACACUGGGACUGAGACACGGCCCAGACUCCUACGGGAGGCAGCAGUGGGGAAUUUUGGACAAUGGGGGCAACCCUGAUCCAGCCAUGCCGCGUGCGGGAAGAAGGCCUUCGGGUUGUAAACCGCUUUUGUCGGGGAAGAAAUCCUCUGGGCUAAUACCUCGGGGGGAUGACGGUACCCGAAGAAUAAGCACCGGCUAACUACGUGCCAGCCGCCGCUGUAAAAC
rnacentral:rRNA from 1 species